AACCAUGUAAUUUGCAAUAACAUUCCUACUCUCCGAGGCGUCAUAAUAGAGUGAUACUCUAACGGUUUGCAUAUUGCAACAUACCUGUCAUAAGCCAUUACUGAUAAAUUGGUACUUUCACAGAAGAGAUACAUGCAGAUUCCAAAUAUUUGAAUUAUACAUGCAGUGUAUGAGAUCACAUGAGAGUCUGACAGAAGGUCAAUCAGUAGCUUUGGAUAGAAACUUGUAGAGCCACAAAUGCUGUUUACACACAGAUUACACAGGAAGAUGAACAUGGGCUCAUGGAGAAUCUUCUCCAGCAAUAUGGUCAAAAUCAGAGUUAAAUUCACAAAAAUGGUGAAAACAUAGGCAAGGAUGGAAAGGCCAAAAAAGAUCUGUCUCUUUGUUUUAGUCUCAUUCAAGCCACUCAGCAGAAAAAUAAGUUCACUUGAAGAGUUCUCCAUCUGAGCUGACUUGAGGUGGCGUUUACAGACACGGAGCUUCUUUCUAACUGAGCGUCUGGCUCUGGCUUGCAUGGCUAACAGACCUGCUCAGAAGAUCCACAGUGCUGUAC